UGCAAGUCGAACGGCAGCACGGGUACUUGUACCUGGUGGCGAGUGGCGAACGGGUGAGUAAUACAUCGGAACGUACCUUAUCGUGGGGGAUAACGCAGCGAAAGCUGUGCUAAUACCGCAUACGCCCUGAGGGGGAAAGCGGGGGAUCGAAAGACCUCGCGCGAUUAGAGCGGCCGAUGCUUGAUUAGCUUGUUGGUGGGGUAAAAGCCCACCAAGGCGACGAUCAAUAGCUGGUCUGAGAGGACGAUCAGCCACACUGGGACUGAGACGCGGCCCAGACUCCUACGGGAGGCAGCAGUGGGGAAUUUUGGACAAUGGGGGCAACCCUGAUCCAGCAAUGCCGCGUGAGUGAAGAAGGCCUUCGGGUUGUAAAGCUCUUUUGUCAGGGAAGAAACACCGGCUCUAACACAGUCCGGGAAUGACGGUACCUGAAGAAUAAGCACCGGCUAACUACGUGCCAGCAGCCGCGGUAAUACGUAGGGUGCAAGCGUUAAUCGGAAUUACUGGGCGUAAAGCGUGCGCAGGCGGUUCGUUGUGUCUGCUGUGAAAGCCCCGGGCUCAACCUGGGAAUGGCAGUGGAAACUGGCGAGCUGGAGUGUGGCAGAGGGGGGUGGAAUUCCACGUGUAGCAGUGAAAUGCGUAGAGAUGUGGAGGAACACCGAUGGCGAAGGCAGCCCCCUGGGCUGACACUGACGCUCAGGCACGAAAGCGUGGGGAGCAAACAGGAUUAGAUACCCUGGUAGUCCA
rnacentral:rRNA from 1 species